ensembl:snRNA U1 U1 spliceosomal RNA
AUACUUUCCUAACAAGGGAGAUAUCAUGGUCAGGAUGGUAGCUUUCGUAGGGGGAGGCUCACCCAUUGCAUGUGGGAUGUGCUGACCCCUAUGGUUUUCCCAAAUUAGGGAAACUGAACUGCAUAAUUUGUGGCAGUGGGUGACUACAUUCAUAACCUCCCC